UAGUUUUAUCGAAGGAAGCAAAGCAAGAGAACCGUGAGUAGGAAAUAGAAAGUGAACAGUAAUAAAAAAAAGUAAAACAGUAGGGAACGUUUUCUUAGAGCUUAUUACAAUUACGAAAAAUAAAGCUUAUCCCAAUUGAGAUAGUUAAAAAAAAAGGAACGAAAUAAAACGAUAUGAAAGACAACAAAGGAUGGAAAAACAAAAACAAACCGCUGAAUGAAUUAAUCAAAAGAAAGCGGAAAAAUUAAUAAAUACUCAUCAAUAGAGUAGCACAAGAUGAAGCGAAGGGAGUAGGACAAGGCGUUAAGCCUGCGUUUAGUCUGAACAAUAGAUAUAGACUAAAAAGUGAAAGACGGAAUUUCAAAG